UAAGGAAUAUUGGUCAAUGGACGGAAGUCUGAACCAGCCAUGCCGCGUGCAGGAAGACGGUCCUCUGGAUUGUAAACUGCUUUUGUUAGGGAAGAAACUUCCGUACGUGUACGGGACUGACGGUACCUAAAGAAUAAGGAUCGGCUAACUCCGUGCCAGCAGCCGCGGUAAUACGGAGGAUCCAAGCGUUAUCCGGAUUUAUUGGGUUUAAAGGGUGCGUAGGCGGCGUUGUAAGUCAGUGGUGAAAGUUUGCAGCUUAACUGUAAAAUUGCCAUUGAUACUGCAGUGCUUGAGUAUAGAUGAGGUGGGCGGAAUGUGUCAUGUAGCGGUGAAAUGCAUAGAUAUGACACAGAACACCGAUUGCGAAGGCAGCUCACUAAACUAUAACUGACGCUGAGGCACGAAAGCGUGGGGAUCAAACAGG
rnacentral:rRNA from 2 species